rnacentral:rRNA from 1 species
AGCAGCAGCCGCGGUAAUACAGAGGGUGCGAGCGUUAAUCGGAUUUACUGGGCGUAAAGCGCACGUAGGCGGCUUGGUAAGUUAGAGGUGAAAGCCCGGAGCUCAACUCCGGAAUUGCCUUUAAGACUGCCGAGCUAGCAGGUGAGAGAGGUGAGUGGAAUUCCGAGUGUAGAGGUGAAAUUCGUAGAUAUUCGGAAGAACACCAGUGGCGAAGGCGGCUCACUGGCUCAUACUGGACGCUGAGGUGCGAAAGCGUGGGGAGCAAACAGGAUUAGAUACCCCCGUAGUCCCUGUCUCUUAUAA